rnacentral:lncRNA from 1 species
CUUUUAAGGUGGUUGGUCCACCUAUAACUUGGGGAGCAACUGUAACUGAUGAGACAACUACUCCAAAGUUAAUAAUUAGUUCUUUAUUAUUAUUUCUUGCUAUUUAUGAUUUCUGUUGUUGUGGUGUCGAGGUAGUAGGAGAGGUAGUUGUGUUAUUCGAGGUAGGAUUAGUGGAGGGAGGGGUUUUCCUUUAUACCCUUCGGUCUCCAUCGCAGAGCUGUUGUGAUGG